GAGGGUAUAAUUCAGUCGAAGAGUACAUGUCUAGCAUGCAUUAGGUCCUGGGUUCAACCCCCAGUACCGCCA
rnacentral:tRNA from 1 species